UACGUAGGGUGCAAGCGUUGUCCGGAAUUACUGGGCGUAAAGAGCUCGUAGGUGGUUUGUCGCGUUGUUCGUGAAAACUCACAGCUUAACUGUGGGCGUGCGGGCGAUACGGGCAGACUAGAGUACUGCAGGGGAGACUGGAAUUCCUGGUGUAGCGGUGGAAUGCGCAGAUAUCAGGAGGAACACCGGUGGCGAAGGCGGCCCGCUGGGCCGUGGCUGACGCUGAGGCGCGACAGCGUGGGGAGCAAACAGG
rnacentral:rRNA from 1 species